ACGUCUUCCUCUCGCUUUUUUCUGAGUUACUGGGCGUAAAGAGUAUGUAGGCGGUUCUCCAAGUCUGGUGUGAAAUCUCCCGGCUCAACCGGGAGGGUGCAUUGGAAACUGGGGGGCUGGAGUGCGGGAGAGGGAAGCGGAAUUCCUGGUGUAGCGGUGAAAUGCGUAGAUAUCAGGAGGAACACCCGCGGUGUAGACGGCUUCCUGGACCGUAACUGACGCUGAGAUACGAAAGCGUGGGGAGCAAACAG
rnacentral:rRNA from 1 species